AGCACUAUACGGUGAACUGCGAAUGGCUCAUUAAAUCAGUUAUCGUUUAUUUGAUAGUACCUUACUACAUGGAUAACCGUGGUAAUUCUAGAGCUAAUACAUGCUAAAAACCUCGACUUCGGAAGGGGUGUAUUUAUUAGAUAAAAAACCAAUGCCCUUCGGGGCUCCUUGGUGAAUCAUAAUAACUUAACGAAUCGCAUGGCCUUGCGCCGGCGAUGGUUCAUUCAAAUUUCUGCCCUAUCAACUUUCGAUGGUAGGAUAGUGGCCUACCAUGGUAUCAACGGGUAACGGGGAAUUAGGGUUCGACUCCGGAGAGGGAGCCUGAGAAACGGCUACCACAUCCAAGGAAGGCAGCAGGCGCGCAAAUUACCCAAUCCCGACACGGGGAGGUAGUGACAAUAAAUACUGAUACAGGGCUCUUUUGGGUCUUGUAAUUGGAAUGAGUACAAUUUAAAUCCCUUAACGAGGAACAAUUGGAGGGCAAGUCUGGUGCCAGCAGCCGCGGUAAUUCCAGCUCCAAUAGCGUAUAUUAAAGUUGUUGCAGUUAAAAAGCUCGUAGUUGAACCUUGGGCCUGGCUGGCCGGUCCGCCUCACCGCGUGUACUGGUCCGGCCGGGCCUUUCCUUCUGGGGAACCUCAUGCCCUUCACUGGGCGUGUUGGGGAACCAGGACUUUUACUUUGAAAAAAUUAGAGUGUUCAAAGCAGGCCUUUGCUCGAAUACAUUAGCAUGGAAUAAUAGAAUAGGACGUGUGGUUCUAUUUUGUUGGUUUCUAGGACCGCCGUAAUGAUUAAUAGGGAUAGUCGGGGGCAUCAGUAUUCAAUCGUCAGAGGUGAAAUUCUUGGAUUGAUUGAAGACUAACUACUGCGAAAGCAUUUGCCAAGGAUGUUUUCAUUAAUCAGUGAACGAAAGUUAGGGGAUCGAAGACGAUCAGAUACCGUCGUAGUCUUAACCAUAAACUAUGCCGACUAGGGAUCGGACGGUGUUAGUAUUUUGACCCGUUCGGCACCUUACGAGAAAUCAAAGU
rnacentral:rRNA from 1 species